rnacentral:rRNA from 1 species
CAGGUAUUGAGAUGGCCUGCAGCGGUCACGGAGUUGUGGUUGUAGUAGGGUUGCGGUGGAGUCGAUGUGUGUCGUGUCUGAUUUCAGCCAGCGAUCAGGAUUGUCUAUUUGCUCUCGUCCAGAAGAAUUUCUCAGCAACACGUUGUUCGCGGGGGUAUGGGUGAGCUGCGGUCGGAGGUCACCGCAGGGCUCGCAGCGCGCGGGUAGAGGUCCUCGGCGCGAUGUGAGUGUUGUGAUCGAUGCUCUCCUAUGCAUUCGGCGGGAGUCUUGCUAUUCCGAACUCAAAUGUGGCGACUGUCGGAUCUCCCAUUGCGUGUGUGUCGCUCCUCGUCAUCUCUCUCAUCUCUCCGACGUACUAGUGCCUAUAUUCACUCGCACACUCAUAUCUCAUCAUCUGCCUGUAGAAGUCUCGACCUCUCACAGUACGCUCCGUCNCCAGCAUCGCAGACA